AAGAAGCAAGCAAAGAAAAUCCGACAUAAGACGAAUUGAAUUUGUUUCUUCUCGCUUUGUCUUUCCACCUUCACCAGAAGCUCCUUUCUCUGUUCCUAAGCGGAGUUAGGGGGUCAAAUUGAAAACGUAUCCAGUUACAAACAACAUAAGUUUUUGUUUUUUGUUUUUGUUUUUGUUUUUGUUAAUGUCCUUGCAUUCUCUUUUCCUUUCCCGCAAGCGGGUCCUCGCUUUUCUCACAAGCCACUCAACAAAAUCCGCCCCUAAACUUUAACAGAGGAUCAUUCUUCAACGCAAUUCCUCACCCCAAUGGAAGAAUCAAGUGAACUGCAAUCAGAAGAAAAUAAAGUCUCCAAUGAGAAAAAUAAGAAAAGAAAGCUGAAAACACCAGCCCAACUUACGGCCUUGGAGAAAUUUUAUGAUGAGCACAAGUACCCCACAGAGGAAAUGAAAGUAGAGCUUGCUGAGGAGUUAGGAUUGACAGAAAAGCAAAUAUCUGGAUGGUUUUGCCACAGAAGGUUAAAGGAUAAAAGAUUGAUGAAAGACGAAGCGGUUGCUAAUGGACGACAAGAUCGUUCAAGUGGUGUCAUCCAGGAUCGCGGCAGUGGACUUGGGCAAGAUUCUUGUGGAAGCAGUAAACAUGCUGAUUACAGGUAUCUGGAUGCUAAGGAGGUUGAGAGCCAUGGCUUCUACAACAACGAAAUAUCUGUUGCAGACAUGACACAAAGACGAAGGAACCAUUACCUUGAAAAUGUUAGUGGAGUGGAUGACACAUCAUCUGAGAGCAGCUCUUUCUUGCAAGAAAGGGCUUUUGCUCAAGGUCAGGAUCCAUAUGAUAUGGACCCUUCUAGACAUCUUACACCUAACGGAGCUCUUCCACCCCUGAAUCCCAAAGGUGCAGUUAACCUUGGAUACAAACCAUCAGGAUAUUUGAAAUUGAAGGGUGAGAUAGAACAUGCAGCUAUCACUGCUGUUAAGAAACAACUAGGAAGGCAUUAUGAGGAAGAUGGUCCGCUACUCGGUAUAGAAUUUGAUCCGCCUCCUCCGGGGGCCUUUGAGUGCCAAACUGAAGAUCCAGCUAAUGAACCAUUUUGUGUAGCAAAUGCUCCGGUUCUGAAUUCUCCAGAAAUCUCUGCUGCAAAAAAACCCAAUCUUAGCUCUAGAUAUGAUUCGCAUUAUACUAAAUUUAAUUCCCAAGAUUUGCAUAUGGAAGGAGCUGACUUUGGCUCCUUGCAUGAAUCUGAUUUCCAGGAUAAACAAGAUAAGAAAGCCCGUCAGAAUAUAAAACAAAGGCAACCUUACCACGGUUACAACACCCAUGUUUCUGGAAGGAACCCUUUCCCUGAUUUGUAUGAAGAUUCUACUGGAGAAGCAUCUGGCUAUAACAGUGCUAAGAAUCAUAGAAUGAGCACUAAGCAUGGGGUUGAGGGGAUGCGAUCUGAUUCUGCUUCUAACCACAGUGAUCACUUUGAGGAGAAGCUUGCGAUUAAGCCGAAAGACUUGAUGCUGCAUGGUUAUGAUAAGAUCAAUCCAAAGAGAAUACAAAAGAGUGGACAUGUUAAAUCUAAACCUUCUAGUUCAAUCCGUAACUCCCGUGUUCCCAUGGAUACUGAAGAAAGGGGAUUAUCUGCUAGGAUGGCAAAGGAAGAGAUGUUUAAGCUGGACCAGAAAGCAAAGAACACAUACCGCGAUGUAGAUGGGAGGCUUUCAAAUGAAAUCCUGGUUGCAAAGAGAGCUAAAGUUGACAUGCUUCAACAAUACCAUGUGAAACCAUCACCUGUUGCUGAGAUGGAGCAAAGGAAAAUUCACAGCAGAUGACAGCACCAAAAGCCGAGUAAAGAAUCUGAACUCUUGUUUUUCUCUCCCAUGACAAUAUAUGAUCACCCAGGUCCUCAAUAUUUUGUUUAGAUCAUGUGCAUGUUUGUUUAGAUCUGCUGCAGAGAUGCCUUCUAGCUUUAGUGAGGAUGAAACUGCUGAAACCAGUUCCUCACUAGAUUAUUAGAUGCUGUUCAUAGAUGGUAACAAGUGUGAGGGUUUUUGUCUUAAGCCAUUGGGUAUGUACAUUCUAAAACGACACAUACGUUUUCCUUUAACAUGGAAACCACUGUUUCUGACAGCAAUAGCAGUGACUCCAUUUAUUGUUCUUUGUGCUCGCCUAUUUUGCCUUUGUAAAAAAAAAUGAAAAAUGAAUUACGCCCCCCAUGUUAUUUUUUUCAUGUAAAAUCUCAUUUUCUGAAAGCUCCUUGUGGUUGAUUAAAUUCCAGCUGAUACAUUUGUUA